GACAAAGGGUGCAAACGUUGUUCGGAAUUACUGGGCGUAAAGCGAGUAUGGGCGGUCUGCUAAGUCGGGUGUGAAAGCCCCGGGCUCAACCCGGGAAAUGCACUCGAAACUGGCAGGCUAGAGUACUAGAAAGGUUGGUGGAAUUCUCGGUGUAGAGGUGAAAUUCGUAGAUAUCGAAAGGAACACCGGUGGCAAAAACAACCAACUGGACAGAUACUGACACUGAGACUCGAAAGCGUGGAGAGCAAAC
rnacentral:rRNA from 1 species